GGAGGGAUUCCCGAGCGGUCAAAGGGAUCAGACUGUAAAUAUUACGGCACAGCCUACGCAGGUUCGAAUCCUGCUCCCUCCACCA
rnacentral:tRNA from 1 species